UAGCAUGCCGCUCUUUUUCAGUUUGAAAAUCUGGUUGAUGAUAAGCUGAUAUAGUUUUUGUUUUAGGUUUUUUCAUUUUAUUGUGGUUAAUUGAUUUUUUUGUUUGAUUGGCUUAUAGUACAAUUUAAUUAGCCAUGGAGUCAGUUAUUGAACAACAAAGAAGCUGGCAUGAGGAACGUGAAAGAAUAGAGGAUACAAUGGUUAAAGAAAUGUUGGCCAAGAAAACAUCUAACAAAGAUCAAAUCAAUAGUGAACAUCGAUUAAAAUAUUUACUGGACCGGUAUAUUCAAGUUACACAACAUUUAAUCGCCUCCUAUGAAGAUAAAGAAGGCUUAAGAAAAGAUGAAAUGUCAUCGAUGACUGGUGGCAAUGAAUUUUCCGAAUUUUAUGGUCGCCUCAGAGUUAUCAAAGAGUUUUAUAAGAAAAACCCGAAUGAAGCUGUUCGCCCGAUGUCCAUUGAAUUCGAUGAUUUUCUUAAAAUGCGUGAAUCUGGAAACGAUGUUAAUCUUGUCGAUUUCACCGCAGAAGAGGGUUAUGGGAAAUUUCUUGACCUUAAUGAUUGUUAUCUCAAAUACCGAAAUCUUAAAGGAGUUGAAAAGAUCGACUAUCUCAAUUAUCUAAGCCAAUUUGACAAGCUUUUUGAUAUACCUAAAGACCGUAAGAUGACAACCGAAUAUAAACAAUAUCUUGAAUCACUUUUAGAGUACUUGAUGGAUUACUGUUCUCGUGUUAAGCCUUUACUAGACCUCGAAGAAAAAGUGAAACAAGUAACCUCGGAAUUUGAAAAGGAAUGGGAAUCAGGUACCUUUCGUGGAUGGCCUAAAGAAACCAGUAGUGCUCUCACCCAUUCAGGAGCUCAGCUAGAUCUUUCAGCAUUUUCAUCAGCGGCUGAACUUGCGUCUCUUGGCCUUGAUCGUUUGAAGACUGCCCUGCUGGCUUUGAACUUAAAAUGUGGAGGAACUCUAGAAGAACGCGCCAAUCGUUUGUGGGCAACAAAGAACAAAACUUUGGACGAAUUAGAUCCUAAUUUAUAUGCCAAAGGAAGGCCAGGAAAGGCUCGUAAAACAUUUGAUUCAGAAAAGCAAAAGGAAAUAGCAUUAUUAGAGGCCCAAAUUUAUGAGUUUUCUGAUAUUCUCUCAGAUCAGAGACAUGCAACAAAAGAAAAUGUCCAACGUAAACAAGCCAGAACAGUAGGAGAAAGAGAAGCUUCUGAUGAAGAAGAUUCUGAUACAGAGUCAGAAGAUGAACCAGACUCUGAAGUCAUAUACAACCCUAAAAAUGUGCCCCUUGGCUGGGAUGGUAAACCGAUUCCAUACUGGUUAUAUAAAUUGCAUGGACUUAAUAUAACUUAUACUUGUGAAAUUUGUGGUAAUGCAACCUACAAGGGACCAAAAGCUUUUCAAUUACAUUUUGCUGAGUGGCGUCAUGCUCAUGGAAUGAGAUGCCUUGGAAUACCAAAUACAGCUCAUUUUGCGAAUGUAACCCAAAUUGAAGAUGCUCUCAAAUUAUGGCAUAAACUAAAAGAUGAGAAACAAAAGGAAAAAUUUCAGACAGCUACUGAAGAAGAAUAUGAAGACUCAGAAGGACGAGUUGUCAACAAAAAAACAUAUGAAGAUUUAAAAAGACAGGGCUUACUUUAAAAGCCCCUAUUCGUAAAUAUUUAUUCAAUUUUUUCCCUAUAUUUAUUUAAAUUCGUGAAAGGUCUAUUUCACCUAAAUAUUAUAGACAAAUAGCCUGAAUGCUAAUCCCACGAAGUGACAAUUUGCAACGAAAGAUUUACUGUAAAUUAAUUUGUAAAUUGUAUCAAUUACCGUAGUUUUGGAGCACACCAUGAUAAUGAAGUUGGCUGUGAUGAAACAAACAACAUGAAACACUAUCGAUAAUGUCAGUUUCAGUUGGUGUUUUCAAAAUUUUACCAAGAUUUCAAGACAAUAUUUUUUGUUCAUUCAAAAUCUCCAGGAAAUGGUUAUGAAUGGCUUGAAAUUUCACAGUGUUUAUAUAACCAGAAAUUAGGACCCGACGGAUUCCACAAGAAUGUGCUAAAUUUUACGGAGUAUCUUCAUUGAACAUAAAACCUUAACAGACACUGACUACCUUGGCUUGGAUCUAAUUUGACACAAACUAAAAGAUGAGAAACAAAAGGAAAAAUUCACUGCAACUGAAGAAGAAUAUGAAGACCCAGAAGGACCAGUUGUCAACAAAAAAACAUGAAGAUUUGAAAAAACAAGACUUACUUUAAAAGUCCCCAUUUGUAAAUAAUUAUUCAAUUUUUUCCAAUGUAAUUAGAAUGUAAAAUUUCUGCUCGCUUUUUGACUAUUAAAAUUAUCACGUAAUUUUACAGACAAA